rnacentral:tRNA from 1 species
GCCUGGCUGGCUCAGUUGGUAGAGCAUGUGACUCUGUAUCUCAAGGUUGUGAGUUUGAGUUCCAUGUUGGGCU